GUCGGAGUUGCAUUCUUCGAGCCGGUGAGAUUGAACGCCGCCGGACAACUAAGGGAGGUAAUCUGAUGAAGACGAAUACCACAGAAACACAAAACGGCGUCACAUGUACCAUUAGGUUGGGGGAGAUGGAUAUUACGGCUCUGAAGAGAAUUCUGAAGCGUAUUAACGCAUUUCUGCGAGUCAUCCGGCAUCAUCGGCAAAUCGGAACUUGCAGGUGCAGCCGACCCUGAAACUUGCAAAGCUGAACGCGCGUGAGCCGCGAAUAACCAAGCCGCCAGUACAGGACAGCAACGGCUUCGGUCCAGGUUCUGACCGCACGCCGCGCUAACUCCACCAAAUAACUCGUCGGACAAAUCCAACCGGCAUAUCUGUGACUCAGUCUGAACCGGAAAAGCUGGAACAGUGUUAGAACCGUAAUCACCCGGCUUCAAUGGCUGCGCCGGUUCUGCAAGUAACCCAGCAAACGAACUUUUACACAUACAAAGCAGCGUCAAAAGUAACGUAAAAAGUCUGAUUUUCAACUCGACUCUCAUUUUCUCUGUAGAAAAAAAAAAACGAAGGCAAAAUGAUUUGGAAGUUGAAGCGAACUUUUGUUUACUUUAUUCCCCCCUUUUUCUCAGUGUUUU
rnacentral:misc_RNA from 1 species